rnacentral:rRNA from 1 species
GACAGAGGUGCCGAGCGUUAGGCGGAAUCACUGGGCUUAAAGCGUGUGUAGGCGGACGGGUAAGUACCUUGUGAAAUCCCACGGCUCAACCGUGGAACUGCUGGGUAUACUGCCUGUCUUGAGUCACUCAGGGGCGAGCGGAACAAAUGGUGGAGCGGUGAAAUGCGUAGAUAUCAUUUGGAACGCCAAUGGUGAAAACAGCUCGCUGGGGGUGCACUGACACUGAGACACGAAAGCCAGGGGAGCGAACGGG